rnacentral:snoRNA from 1 species
UAAUCAAAAAGUACCGGAAACAUUUGCCACGAUGAUUUAACGUUAAUUGUCAAGUUUAAUCAUUGCCAUUACUGAGAUUGCAGUCUCUUAAUGUUAGUUUCCCAGAUAAAAAAUAUUUUUGUCCUGGAUAGGAAGUUUGGAUAUCGUUGUGUCUCUUUAUUGAGGCGAUGAAAUCUGAAUGUCGAUGAAAGGAGAUAUCU